AUUGACCUAGUCAAUUUUUCUACGAAACAAACAACCCUGAGUUGUUUUUUUGGAUGCAUCUGCUUUCCCUUUUUGGGGAUGGCACCUACCACAGCCAGGACACCCAGCAAUAUCAGAGAAAUACAGACAGAGGUAUAUCUGGAGAGGCUUUUUCCCUAUUGUUAUCCUCUAGGAUGUACUUCAAGCUCGCUUUUUGAAGUGGGAGAUGAGGGAAGUUCUAGCAUGGGAUCUGUGCUUCAAGAUGGUUUUGAGAGCAGAAAAGAGGUGAUCUACUUUGUCUUCAGCACACCACAAUUAUUUCCUGCAGAUUGUCUGUAAACUUGCUCUUUGUCUUGCGUCUACUGGUGGAUUUAUUGUAUUCGUUCUCAGAGGCCUAUAGUAAGCAAUGUACUAAGGGACCACCUCUUUUUGUUCUUUUUGAUAAACAAGUGAACACAUGAAAUAGGAAGCCACUAAUCUGACAGCAGGUUUUGUUCUGCCAGUGUCAAAUACAAUGACAGAGUGAGUGGUCAAAGAGCUGGGAAUCUCACAGGUUGGGAGGCAAAGGCCAAAAUGGCAUUUUCCUUCCCAACAGAGACUGGGAAUACCAUGGCAGUACUUGAUCUUUUGGUUGUUCUCCUCCCUGAGUAACUGCAAGCAGAAACACAAUUCCUUGAUGCAAUGGCCUCUAACAGCUGCUUUGGUCAACACAGAUAUGUCAGAGCGCACACACGGCAGCAGGCAAACCAAUAACAGCUGGGACAACCCUCCAACCCAAAUCAAAAUCCAAAGAAAACCAAUUUUUCCUUCCAUAAAUUGAGAUCUGCACCCCACUUUAAUGUUUAAUUCCACAGUUAUUGUAAGAAUACCCCACAGCAGGAGGUUGGAACUAAUGAUCCUCAAGGUCUCUUCCAACCUAAGCCAUUCCAUGGUUCUAUUCAAUUAAUUGCAUUGCUUGUGUUUCCUUUAAAAAAGGAAUAAAAUAAUGAUCUUCCUUUUGUUGCUAUUGUUCAGAUUGGGGUUAUAUUGAGUAAAAGGUACUUGGUAUUUUAACAGGAGCAAGGAGAUCAGCAUAAGAAGCAUGCAAUAGAUAAACAGAGACAAGUCAUGUGAGGGUAGUCACAACUUAUGCUCUUCUGUUGCUUAAAGUUGAUAUUAACAGCAUUUGCUCGGUGUAUCAAUGAUAUUUUAUUCAGGACAUUAAAAUGGCACAAACAUUUUACCGUGUCAAGAGCUGCCUGUUAGGUUUGUUUCUGAAACGUCGCAUUUUUGCAACCAUUUGGUGACCCCACACACAGAGCACACAGUGAGCGUAGUGUUUUCAUGUAAAGAACAUGGGUACCUUGCGUUAGAACAACAGCAGCACAAAUUUGGGAAGUACUUCGUUCAGAUUUCAUCCGUGAAAAAACAUCGGUAGGGUGAAGGAGCUGAAAACCACAAAGCAGUGAAGGGAGAAGUGACUCUCGUUCCUCCUGCUUUGGUCUCCAGCUGAUGGCCUCCCUGACAUUACGAAGCAGUGGGUGGACCCUGCGCUGCUCACACUGUCAUCCAUUUCAGAAGCAGAAGUGCAAUUUGGAUGGUGUUUUAUACCGGGGAUGGAUUAAAGAUAUAUUCCGUCAAAUGUUUUGGAUGGAGUAAUUCUCUUCAUUUUCCUUCCUCCGCAGCUUCCUCCCACUAUAGAGCAACAUGCAGCUGGGCAACCGCGUGUGUCAUGCCUCAACAGCCACUGUGCAACCCAAGCGGGUACUUUUGGGCCAAAUUCCCAUUAUCACAUCUUCUUCCACAGCAAUAAAGCCAAGAAUGCUAACGGAGAGAGGCUGCCGGCAUUUUCAGCACCUUCCUGUUGGUCCGGGCUUGGUUUUGCCAUCGUACCCAGUGAUGUUCCAGGAGCUGAUUUACGUCAGUGUUGCUCUAGCUGAGUAAGGUACAUCAUCUGUGGAAGGAAGAGAAAAUCCUGAGCAAUAAAAAAAGUUCUCAGUUCUGUGAGCACACCUUCUCCUUCAGGAUGAAAGCAAGCAAAGCUGAACGUGGGGCAUCAUCAUAACAUUUAAGAACGUUUGAGUCCCACCUAGGAAACUCAACCCAUCUGAAACACUCUUUAUUUAUUUUUUUUUCAGUGCGUGUCACGGAUCUGCUCAGUUUUCCUGUUUAUCUUUUAUUACUAAGGAAAUGAGGACAUUUGCAUGAAAACAAGGGCUCAGAUUCUUGUAAGGAUCCCUAUUGCUGCCCGUAUUUUCAUCCUCUGAAGGGAUCGGAACCUUCUGUGGUGGGAACCAUAAUUGCUUCCAACCCAAAGGCCCUGUUUUCAUGCAAAUAUUCAUACUAAUAAAGCAGAGGGUAAAAGAAGUAUGUGAAGUUAUGUUUUGCAGAACCACUAUUUAAAGCAAAGCAGCUUUGUAGAACAAAGUCAAGUCAGAAUUUUUCUAGCAGCAAUAAAGGGAAAGGGAGUUUGUAUGUUUUCCAUAACAGAGCCCAAAUGUCUCUAAAUGAGGCUGUUAAAAUGUAAAUACGGAAUCUAUCUCAAUAUUGUUGUCAUCAGCAUCAUCAGCACAUCAGCUCUAUGUGAAAAGAUCCCAACCGGAAUUACAACACCAUUCUUUCGGUAUCUUAAAAGAAUACAGGAUCAUAUUGCCUCUUUCACCCAAAGAUUCCACAGUCUAGUGUGUUCCUGUAGAACCACAGAAUUAUAGAGGUUGGAAAAGACCGUUAAUAUCACCCAUUCUGUCUGUCAGCCCAUCCCCACCGUGCCCACUGACUACGUCCUUCAGUGCCAGAUCUGCGCAUUUCUUGAACGCCUCCUGACACGGUGACUCCCCCACCUCCCUGGGCAGCCUUUCCCACCGCUUCACCGCUCUUUCUGAGAAGAAACUUUUCCUAAUAUCCAACCUGAACCUCCUCUGGAGCAACUUAGGGCCUUACCUUACGCUACCUUCUAACCCACCUCCAAGCCAUUGCUUUGGUCUACCUCCUCCUAAUUUUUCCAAACUCAGGAAUCACAGAAUGGUUCGGUUUGAAAGAGACCUUAAAGCCCACUCAGUCUCAGCCCCCUGCUGUGGGCAGGGCUGACUCCCACCAGCUCAGCUGCCCAGGACCCCAUCCAGUCUGGCCUUGAGUGCUUCCAGGGAUGGGGCACUACAGCUUCUCCGGGCAGCUGUACCCGCUCAUCACCCUCAUGGUAAAGAAUUUCUGCCUAACAUCUAACCGGAAUCUGCUAUCCUUUCAUUUAAAGCCACUGCCCCUUGUCCUGUUGCUAACUGCACAUGUAAAAUGUCGGCCUCACUCCUGUUUAUAAGCUCCCUUUAAGGACUGGUAGGCCACAGUGAGGUCUCCCUGGAGCCUUUUCUUCUCGCAGCUGAGCAAGCCCAGCUCCCUCAGCCUUCCCUCACGGGAGAUGUGCUCCAGCCCUCUGAAAUAACCGAAUAAACGAACAAAACCUACUGAAAAAAAAAAAAUAGAGAUGGACAUCAGAAUUGGGAGCCAUAAAGAAUUAGUAGGAAACGUCUGCGUGCAACAACAAUGCUUUAAUACUUUGGGCUCGGCUUCACCGUAGCCGACAGCUCAGACACCAGGAGGCACCCCCUCGCUUGCAGUUUUCACACAUCAAUACCACCACGUGUCCGCCCCUCUCCUUUCCCAUCUUCUCAGCAGCCGAUGCCUCGCAUCCGUAUCAUAAACACGCACAGCCUGCCAUGGGGGAGCACUUCCUUUGUUACCGCUACGGAGCCACCCCGCUCCGGGCCGGCGGCUCUGCGCAUCCCGGCUUGUG
ensembl:lncRNA